AAAGAGCACUGGUUUUGGAAUCUGACUGGUUUUGGAAGAACUGACCCGGAUUCUUCAUAUCUGAGCUGUGUGACCUCAGGUGCUAUAGCUUCUUUCUUUUCCUGAGCGUUUCCUAACUUAGGCAAGGCCAAGCCAGAACGAGUCUAAAGCCUUGAGUGUCACCUUUGAGUCAACAACCGGCUAACUAUGCAGGAGAAAAAUGAGGGAGCAGGAAUCAUGUGGAAUUACAGAGACCCCAGACGCUGCUCUAGGGUUUGCAGGUUUGCUUCUACCCACAGCGUGCCCGGGCCCUGUGGUUCAGCGCCUGCAUCCCGGGCUCUGGCCGCAGUCGCCGAAAAGAAGGAGUUGCGCGCGCCCCCUCGUGGACAGAGAGGGGCACUGCCGAAAGCCUACCGGUGGGGGCGAGGAGAGCUCCCUGGGACCAGGCCCCAGGUGGGGAGGCUGCAAAAUGACCCAGAGGUGAGUCCCGGGGAACACACGAAGGCAGCGAGCUUCCUGCAAUUCGAGAACU